rnacentral:rRNA from 1 species
AUUGAACGCUGGCGGCAGGCUUAGCACAUGCAAGUCGAGCGGAGAUGAGGUGCUUGCACCUUAUCUUAGCGGCGGACGGGUGAGUAAUGCUUAGGAAUCUGCCUAUUAGUGGGGGACAACAUUCCGAAAGGAAUGCUAAUACCGCAUACGUCCUACGGGAGAAAGCAGGGGAUCUUCGGACCUUGCGCUAAUAGAUGAGCCUAAGUCGGAUUAGCUAGUUGGUGGGGUAAAGGCCUACCAAGGCGACGAUCUGUAGCGGGUCUGAGAGGAUGAUCCGCCACACUGGGACUGAGACACGGCCCAGACUCCUACGGGAGGCAGCAGUGGGGAAUAUUGGACAAUGGGCGGAAGCCUGAUCCAGCCAUGCCGCGUGUGUGAAGAAGGCCUUUUGGUUGUAAAGCACUUUAAGCGAGGAGGAGGCUACCUAGAUUAAUACUCUGGGAUAGUGGACGUUACUCGCAGAAUAAGCACCGGCUAACCCUGUGCCAGCAGCCGCAGUAACAC